UUUUUUCGUGUGUUGUUGAUUUCAAUAAAUAUAUAUUUUUAUUUUCAUUUCAAAGUAUGAAAAUCAAAGUGCAUAUUUAUUUCGAAUACGCGUUUGUUUUAGUUCGGGUUUGAACGAUUACGGGCCCGUAUAGAGGGCCAAAGGUGGGCCGAUUUUUAGAGAGCCUUGGGCCGAUUUUAAGGCCCUAUUUUAGAGCCCAAAUGCAGCCCAUUUCAGCCCCCAAAGCCCACUUACACAUCAGCCACCCUUUCAAAUUCAAAGGGGGACAAGGGUGAUCUUUACAGGCAUGGGGAACUACCAAAGUACAUGGGAAGUGCAAAAGUCUUGGUGGCAGCCACCCUACCCUCCCCUAGGCCUCAUUUUCGUGCUCCCCUCUCCCUAGAGCCAAGAGUUGGCUGAUGCAACUUCCUCCAUACUCUUUAACUCUCUCUACAAAGCCUAGUCCUCACUCCACAUCCACCCCUCUCCAUUUUCGUCCCUCCUUCCUUCCCCCACUCUCACAACUUUUCUCCCACCAUUAUCACACUCCAUAGAAGCCCUUGAAGCCCCAAGAGAAGUAUCAAAGCAAGGGAGAGCGUGGAAAAACUAGGGCGUAAAGUUGGAGUGAAGAUUGUGCUUCGAGGGAAUUGGUUCACAGGACGGUACUACAGCUUAAGAUCACCUCUCUUCCAUACCGAGGAUCAGGUUGAGCAGUGGCUGAUGAAGAUGAAGUGACGAGUGGAGCUUUUGUCAUAAGUUGAUUGAAUAAACUCUUGGAUACAUGUCUUCAUACAUGUAGUCAGAUUAUUAUUUCCGCUGCGUAUUCUUAAGUAAUAAGCCUCUUGAUUUAAGUUCGGAUUCAUCCGAACUUACUAGUAUUUUAAUCUUUGUAGCUAAACAUAAGUUAUUUUUAAAUGCUCCUUCACUGUCAA